rnacentral:rRNA from 2 species
CGUGGACUUGCUCCUGANUUACGGCGGNGGGUGAGUACACGUGGGCACCUGCCUAUAAGACUGGGAUAACUUCGGGAAACCGGAGCUAAUACCGGAUACGUUCUUUUCUCGCAUGAGAGAAGAUGGAAAGACGGUUUACGCUGUCACUUAUAGAUGGGCCCGCGGCGCAUUAGCUAGUUGGUGAGGUAAUGGCUCACCAAGGCGACGAUGCGUAGCCGACCUGAGAGGGUGAUCGGCCACACUGGGACUGAGACACGGCCCAGACUCCUACGGGAGGCAGCAGUAGGGAAUCUUCCGCAAUGGACGAAAGUCUGACGGAGCAACGCCGCGUGAACGAAGAAGGCCUUCGGGUCGUAAAGUUCUGUUGUUAGGGAAGAACAAGUACCAGAGUAACUGCUGGUACCUUGACGGUACCUAACCAGAAAGCCACGGCUAACUACGUGCCAGC